CGGAGGAUCCAAGCGUUAUCCGGAAUCAGUUGGGUUUAAAGGGUCCGUAGGCGGUUUAGUAAGUCAGUGGUGAAAGCCCAUCGCUCAACGGUGGAACGGCCAUUGAUACUGCUAAACUUGAAUUAUAAGGAAGUAACUAGAAUAUGUAGUGUAGCGGUGAAAUGCUUAGAUAUUACAUGGAAUACCAAUUGCGAAGGCAGGUUACUACUUAUGGAUUGACGCUGAUGGACGAAAGCGUGGGGAGCGAACAGGAUUAGAUACCCUGGUAGUCCACGCCGUAAACGAUGGAUACUAGCUGUUCGGAGCAAUCUGAGUGGCUAAGCGAAAGUGAUAAGUAUCCCACCUGGGGAGUACGUUCGCAAGAAUG
rnacentral:rRNA from 1 species